GAAUAUCUGGGGACAGGAGCAGAACCACUAUUAUAGACAUGGGAGGCUCAACAACUAUGCAAAACAGCACUCUAUAGGCUGCUGGGUGUGUGAAACAGAGAAAGGGAAGGAGAGAGAGAGACAGAGAGAAAAAGAGAGAGCGACAGAGAGAAAAACAGACAGACAGACAGACACACAGAAGGAGAAAGAAAGGAACAGAGAGAGAGAUACUUAUAUUACUAUUAUUUUGCUGUUGUGAGUCAUUCCAAUCUAGUGGUCAACUAUAGGAGGACAACCAAAUAUUGUAUUAAAGGGAUGAACCUCCCACUGGAAUUCUGUUGCUCUGAUGUUAAUGUCCGGGAUCCAAGACGAGACCAAUGGAGACAGGUGAUGCUUACUGGAGCCUUAUUAUCUACAGUAAAUAAAUGGCUCUGAUAUUUUCAGCUUGAUGGCGCCCUCUUGUUUUAAAAUGUCAUCAUGCUGAAGAUUAGUUCAGACAGAGCAUAAAAAGUUAUUUGUCAAACAGUGGCAGGGUCAGUCUGUUGGUAGAAUUACAGACUGGGCCUGCAAACUGUUUAUUGCUUUUUAAAAAUAAAUAAAUAGAUAGGUGUGCAAUGACAGAACAGUAUCAACAUCACCAGAUAUUAGUAUCAUAAUGGUUAACUGAAUUUGACUGCUGGUAAUAAAAAGUGAAUUUCAUUGGGUGUUGCUGUCAGAGUUAUCAACAGUUAAGAGUUCCGACUGGGAAGUUUCACGUGAACGGACAUGCACCAUACAGACAGAUAGAGGACUCAUCUUGAUAUUCGUGCCAUUGUAGCGUGUGAUAGCAUGGGCAAUUCCAUUCAGGAAUUACCACCCAGUUGACUACUUUGACUACUAAAAUGUUAUUUUGGCCACUAGAGGCCUCUAUCAUUCUCUAUGACAUGAACAUUCUUAUGAAGUGAUCAAGGUCAGCCAUUUUGGUCAGGGAGUUGGUCAAUCAUGGUUUGCCAGAGUUGUGUUUAAGAUAUUGUGUAAAAUAAUACAUUUGUUGAAUGUAUCUGCACUAUAUGUUUACUAGCUAGCUAGCCAGACAGUUUAAGAGGAAUGACUGUAUUAAUCCCCGAGCUGACAAGGUAAAACUCUGUCGUUCUGCCCCUGAACAAGGCAGUUAACCCAUUGUUCCUUAGUCGUCAUAAGAAUUUGUUCUUAACUGACUUGCCUAGUUAAAUAAAGUUUUUUUUUUUAUGUUCACAUUAAUUGCCAAUAUACCCACGUUCCAUUUAUAAAUGCAAUCAAUUCAUAGCAAUACAAUGCCUCAAAUCAGUUGAUGAUUGGACUUGACAGGUACUGAUAUUGUAUCAUAUAAUAGCACAGCUUUCCAAGAAGACCACAAAUUCAACAUUUAUGGUCUUGUUUACAUAUACUUUAGAGGCUAUUUAUGUAGAACAUUUGUAUAAAAACUGAAUUAACUGUAUUAAUUAAUGAUGAUAUGACAAUAUUUUAGGUUGACAGAAAUUCUAUUACACAAUUUCUGAUACAUCACAUUCCUUACUUGUAUUUUCCUGCAUAAUUAAAACCAGAUUAUGCCUCUA